UUUGUUUCUCAAUCUCCUAAUCAAUAAUUAUUUCUCUACUUUUUUUCCCCCUUCUUGCUCGCUCUUAAAUCUUUUGUCUCUUACUCUGUCGCAGCGAUGAGUGAUCCCAAGUAUGCUUAUCCUUAUCCUGCUCAAGGUUACCCUGCUCAAGGUAAUUAUUAUCAAGGGCCACCAGUGAUGGCACCACCCCAGUAUGCAGCUCCGCCGAGAAAGGAAACUGGUUUCCUACAGGGAUGCCUUGCAGCUUUGUGUUGCUGUUGCCUUCUGGACGAGUGUUGCUGUGACCCCUCUGUUUUUUGUGUGUUCUAAUUAAUUAAGUGCCUCCUUGUGAUUAAAAUAAAUAAGUACCAGAUUAGGUUUUUCCAGAUUUUUUCCCUUCGUUUCUUUGUCAUUUUUAUUUCUAGUAAUGAUUACAUAUGUAGUUUUUAAAUAUUGUAAUUUUAGUGAAUGAAGUUUUACUAAUGAACAAGUUUCUGGCUAUAAA